AGCGAACGCUGGCGGCAGGCUUAACACAUGCAAGUCGAACGCCCGGGCAACCGGGAGUGGCAGACGGGUGAGUAACGCGUGGGAACAUGCCCUUUGGUUCGGAAUAACUCAGGGAAACUUGAGCUAAUACCGGAUAAGCCCUUAUGGGGAAAGAUUUAUCGCCGAAGGAUUGGCCCGCGUCCGAUUAGCUAGUUGGUGAGGUAAUGGCUCACCAAGGCGACGAUCGGUAGCUGGUCUGAGAGGAUGAUCAGCCACACUGGGACUGAGACACGGCCCAGACUCCUACGGGAGGCAGCAGUGGGGAAUAUUGGACAAUGGGCGAAAGCCUGAUCCAGCAAUGCCGCGUGAGUGAUGAAGGCCUUAGGGUUGUAAAGCUCUUUUACCCGGGAUGAUAAUGACAGUACCGGGAGAAUAAGCUCCGGCUAACUUCGUGCCAGCCGCCGCAGUAAGAC
rnacentral:rRNA from 1 species